GACGAACGCUGGCGGCGUGCUUAACACAUGCAAGUCGAGCGGAAAGGCCACUUCGGUGGUACUCGAGCGGCGAACGGGUGAGUAACACGUGAGUAAUCUGCCCCUGGCUUUGGGAUAGCCACCGGAAACGGUGAUUAAUACCGGAUACGACCACUUCUCGCAUGGGAUGGUGGUGGAAAGUUUUUUCGGCCAGGGAUGUGCUCGCGGCCUAUCAGCUUGAUGGUGAGGUAAUGGCUCACCAUGGCUUCGACAGGUAGCCGGCCUGAGAGGGUGACCGGUCACACUGGGACUGAGACACGGCCCAGACUCCUACGGGAGGCGGCAGUGGGGAAUAUUGGACAAUGGGCGGAAGCCUGAUCCAGCAACGCCGCGUGAGGGAUGACGGCCUUCGGGUUGUAAACCUCUUUCAGCAGGGACGAAGCGCAAGUGACGGUACCUGCAGAAGAAGCACCGGCCAACUACGUGCCAGCCGCCGCGGUAA
rnacentral:rRNA from 1 species